GACACGGUAGCGUGCGGUACAACAGCAAUCGCACCAAGUACCAAAAAGUUUGACAGAGUACUAGAAAAAGUUUAGCAGCAGAAUAGGGGAAGACUGAAGAGGGAAGAGGCCUGUUCUCAGCUCAGGCGAACCGGUCAAUUCCUCCGACUCCGACACCGCUACCCUUUGACUACUAAUUCAACCCUAUUUUUUGUCCGAAGACAACUUCUGUCUGAAACCUUAAACCCUUGUCUGGCUAACCCAAAACCCCACCCGAAGAAAUUAGUCAAAACCAAUAAAUAUGGAGGCAGAAGAAACGCCGCCCCAACAUACACACACAGCAGAAGGUGGGGCAGCUGUCAAAGCUCUUGGCCCUCUCUUCAAGCUCACUGAAGUAUACCUUUGGGAUGAUGCCUCGCAGGAGAACCGAGGCGGGAUUUCUUCCCAGCUAAAUCAAGCCACUGGCCGAGGCAAUGCGGGCUCAUCUUCAAACGAUGGUGUGACGACAAAUGAGUUGUUCCCUCUGCCUGAAGAUUUGGAACUUGCCAGACAGAUGAAGGACCUGGGACUACCGUUUUCAUUUCACACAAACAAGGAGAAGAGGACUAUAAUUGGAGGGAAAAGGAAGGAUCCAAAGAAGAAAAAUCUUGACAAUUGUAAAGCCACCAAUCUGAAACUCUUAAACUCGUUCAAAGAGAGUGGAGGAGUGAAUCCAUCUCCUACUAUUGAUGAUGAUACCAAAAACAUUUCCUUAUGUUCCAUCUCCAUUCUAGACCAAAGUGAACUGUCAUGCUCUGCUAUUGCAGUGAACACCGAUCGAUUUAAUCACAUAUCUGAUGGAGAACGAGAUUCAAUGGCUUUUGCGACUUCUAGUACUUAUGUUGUAAACCCAUCUGCUUUGAGUGAUGAAAUAUCUGAUGUUGGGGCAGAUAGUAGCCUCUCUUGUGAAUAUGGAAUUACAAAACAUUUAGCAAGAGAAGACAAGAAAGUGGAAGCCAGUCAUGGGUUAGAUGAUGAUGUGUGUUCAGGAAAUUCUUUGGUAAUUGGGAGUGAACCGGAAUUAAGGCAACCAAAUGAUGAGCAUGUAGAAUCAUCCUUGGUGCUUGAUGAUGCAGUUGGUGGUGAGACAUUGACCGGUGAUGCCAGUGCUCUGAUAAUGGAUGAUUCUGAAGUUGCUUCAUAUUCACCGUUCUCAGAGCUGGUUGACUCCAAUACAGCUGACAGUAAUUGCAAAGGUGCUUUUGGUGAUUGGAGAACAUAUUGGGACGAGGAUUUCAUGAGAUAUUACUUUUAUAAUAUCAUCACAGAAGAGUCUACAUGGGAUCCACCUGAUGGAGUGUCAAGUGAUAUAGCUGCUGAUCCAACAAAACUAAUUCGUAACACAGAAGUUCUUCUGGCUGACAUUCCAAAUUCUGGAGAAUCUGAUAAGCUGGGUAUUUCUUAUGGUCAGUCAGCUAAUUAUGCCCAGACAGGUGGUUUGGAAAAUGAUAGUGGAUCAUUGGAUCAAGCACUUGAUGAGUCUGGCGAAAUUGGUAUUUACGAUGAAAGCCUCAAUAGCAACAUGACAAAGAAGAAAACGAAAAUCAGGAGAUUAAAAUCAAGUGGGGAAUCGCCCCUUGCGAGUGAAGAGCGCCAAUUCCAAGGAGUUUCUGAAGAAUUUGAUCCUGUUAUAGGUAAAUAUUGGUGUCAAAGAUAUCUGCUGUUUUCAAGAUUUGGUGCUGGAAUACAAAUGGAUGUAGAAGGAUGGUUCUCUGUCACCCCAGAGGCAAUAGCCAAACAUCAUGCAUUUCGUUGUGGAGAUGGGACCACAGUGGAUUGUUUCACUGGAGUUGGUGGAAAUGCAAUCCAAUUUGCACUAAGGAGUCAACAUGUUAUUGCAAUUGAUAUCGAUCCAAGAAAAAUUGAGUAUGCACAACAUAAUGCAGCAAUAUAUGGUGUUGAUGACCACAUAGACUUCAUAGUUGGGGACAGUAUUCUUUUGGCACCCAAAUUAAAGGUAUUGAAAGUCUCUUAUGGAGCAAGUAAUGAGGUGACUCUGACUGUUCUUUGCUUGUUCAAGUACAGGAGCACUGAUGUGUAUGUUUCUACAGCAUAUGAAUUAGCAAGGAGACUCGGCCUUUCUGUCACCACCAUGGGGCGGACCUGAUUAUGCCAAAGAAAAAACAUUUGACAUCCAGACAAUGCUUCAGCCUUGCAAUGGGCAUUCUCUCUUCAACCUAGCAAAAAAAGUAGCCCCAAGAAUUGUCAUGUUCCUUCCAAAAACUGUUGAUAUUGACCAAUUGGCAGAGUUAGCUCUGUCUGCCAGUCCUCCAUGGUCACUUGAGGUGGAGAAGAAUUUCUUGAAUAACAAGCUUAAGGCAAUUACUGCAUACUUCACCGAACCCUCAGGAUAGAAGCUGUAAAUCAAAUUUGGGAUUGGCAACCUAGCAAUACAUUCUUGUCUUUCUAACUGUAUGGCUGUAUCUCCCAUCUCCUUUUUCUCUCAUUUACCCUUGCUUUUACAGGCCUAUUGAAGGCGUAUCUCUCUUCUCUAUGUUUAUAUGGCAUGCUGCUUUUUUUUUUUCGUGUUUGUUUUAGCCAUACAAAAACAAGUGUACAUUCUGGAGUUGGAAAAAUUGUACAUUCUGGAGUAAGAAAAAUUAAUGUAUGUGCAGAUGUUUUUUACUGGACCAGCAAAA